CUGCUCCUGCUGCCCCUCCCAGGGCUCCGGGCGGCCGUGACCCUGCUGGAGUGCGGGGGGCACCUCCAGCCCCCCAGGGGAUCCCUGCGCCUCCUCUGCCGAGGGUCCGGGUUCGAUUUUGGGAGUUAUAAAAUGUUCUGGGUGCGCCAGAGACCCGGGAAGGGGCUGGAAUACGUUGCAGAUAUCAGCAACACUGGUGGCUACACCGACUACGCGCCAUCGGUCAAGGGGCGGUUCAGGAUUUCCAGGGACAACGGGCAGAGCUCGGUGACGCUGACCAUGAACAACCUCAAGGACGAGGAUUCCGGAUCCUAUUUCUGUGGGAAAUGUGCUUACACUGGUGGUUGUAGUUCUGAUGAUGGUGCUAUUGACGUGCCGGGCAUGACCCCAUCCCCAACCAGCCUUGCAGGAGCAUCCGGGCGCAGGACGAAAUAG